rnacentral:rRNA from 1 species
UACAGAGGUCCCGAGCGUUGUUCGGAUUCAUUGGGCGUAAAGGGUGCGUAGGCGGCGGGGCAAGUCUGAUGUGAAAUCCCGGGGCUCAACCCCGGAACUGCAUUGGAUACUGCCUUGCUAGAGUACUGGAGAGGGAACUGGAAUUUACGGUGUAGCAGUGAAAUGCGUAGAUAUCAGGAGGAACACCGGUGGCGAAGGCGGGUCUCUGGGCAAUAACUGACGCUGAGGAGCGAAAGCGUGGGGAGCGAACAGG